GCCGGGCAUGGUGGCGUGUGCCUGUAGUCCCAGCUACUCGGGAGGCUGAGGCAGGAGAAUUGCUUGAACCUGGGAGGCAGAGGUUGCAGUGAGCUGAGAUCGCGCCACUGCACUCCAGCCUGGGCGACAGAGCAAGACUCUGUCUCAA
rnacentral:SRP_RNA from 1 species